GUGGAAUUUUUUUAAUGGUUUCUGUACAAAACUGGCGACGAUGAGGUCUACAAAUUAAAUGUGUAGGACAAGGUUUGGUUUUCAACGACACCCACCUCCACCAUCGCCCUCCGCCUACGUCCGCCUUGGUUAUCUUCAUUUUGAUAUAUCAUAGCACUCCAGCUCUGUCAAAGAAGCGACACCUUCUUGGCAAUCGAUCCUCUAUCUCAUUUGAACAGAACAUUAAACUUCCAUGUGAAAUUCUACUGGUUUCUUUUUCUUUUUUGUUCUGAAGGAGAAAGAGGUUAUCAGAGCUGCAGCAAACAGUGAAAGUUGCAAACUUUAACAUGCCUAUACUUUGUUUCAUCAAAUCCUUUCUUAAUCUAUCAUAGGCCCUUAUGUUGAAGAACACCCUGCUGAUGAUUUAAUUCAAGCAACUGAAGGAUUUUUUGGGUGCUUCCUUUAGCACGUGAGUGUUCGCAGCUGCUUCUUUGUGCUAAACUAAUGUUGUUUUAUUUUGAAGGUUUAUAUUAUCAUAUAUUAAAGCAUGCAGCAAACAAUUCUAUGAAUCAAAGACUGAGGUAUAUCUGAACAUUCUCUAAAAUAAAUUAAAAACAUCAAGUACUAAUAUUCAGGGAUUCUAUAAUAUGCACAUAUGAGAUACUUUGCAUGUUUCUAUUGGUUAUAUAUAUGAUUAUGUUAUUUAAUCUUUUAAUUAUAUGUCCAAGUUAAAAACAACGUUUA